rnacentral:tRNA from 1 species
GGGGAGAUUCCGGAGCGGCCAAACGGGUCAGACUGUAAAUCUGAUGGCACAGCCUUCGGAGGUUCGAAUCCUCCUCUCCCCACCA